GACGAACGCUGGCGGCGUGCUUAACACAUGCAAGUCGAACGGAAAGGCCUGCUUUCCCUUGUGGAUUGCGGGUGCUCGAGUGGCGAACGGGUGAGUAACACGUGAGUGAUCUGCCCCCAACUUGGGUAUAAGCCUGGGAAACUGGGUCUAAUUCCCGAUAGGACUGCAGGGUGGUGCCUGUGGUGGAAAACGAUUUUCUAGUGGUUGGGGAUGAGCUCGCGGCCUAUCAGCUUGUUGGUGGGGUAAUGGCCUACCAAGGCGGCGACGGGUAGCCGGCGUGGGAGGGUGGACGGCCACAUUGGGACUGGGAUACGGCCCAGACUCCUACGGGAGGCAGCAGUGGGGAAUAUUACACCGUGAGCGGAAGCCUGAUGCAGCGACGCCGCGUGGGGGAUGACGGCCUUCGGGUUGUAAACUCCUUUCGACCGCGAGGAAGCCACCUGGUUGGAAGGGUGGUGACGGUAGUGGUAGAAGAAGCACCGGCUAACUACGUG
rnacentral:rRNA from 1 species